CGUGUAGGCGGCUCAUCAAGUCUGGUGUGAAAACGCAAGGCUUAACCUUGCGUAUGCGCUGGAAACUGGUGGGCUUGAGUUCCUGAGGGGAAGCUGGAAUUCCAGGUGUAGGAGUGAAAUCUGUAGAUAUCUGGAAGAACACCGGUGGCGAAGGCGAGCUUCUAUCAGAGGACUGACGCUGAGGCGCGAAAGCGUGGGGAGCAAACAGGAUUAGAUACCCUGGUAGUCCACGCUGUAAACGAUGUGCACUAGGCGUGGGGCCCGUACGGGUUCUGUGCCGUAGUUAACGUGUUAAGUGCACCGCCCGGGGAGUAUGCUCGCAAGGGUGAA
rnacentral:rRNA from 1 species